rnacentral:snoRNA from 1 species
AACAUUACUUACUUCGAUGGACUCCAAUUCACUCAGUUGAUGAGACCAUUUUCGCGCUGUCCGGAGAAGACUCUGACCCGUUGCUGGGCGCCUGGCUUUGAGGGGUCGUUUCGACUUCACUGAGAACUUGGGAAUCAGCUGUGGUUACAUAU